CCUACGGGCGGCAGCAGUGAGGAAUAUUGGUCAAUGGGCGCGAGCUUGAACCAGCCAAGUAGCGUGAAGGAUGACUGCCCUACGGGUGGUAAACUUUGUUUAUAAAGGAGUAAAGUGAGGCACGUGUGCAUUUUUGUAUGUACGUUAUGAAUAAGGAUCGGCUAAGUUCGUGCCAGCAGCAGCGGUAAUACGGAGGAUCCGAGCGUUAUCCGGAUUUAGUGGGUUUAAAGGGAGCGUAGAUGGGUUGUUAAGUCAGUUGUGAAAGUUUGCGGCUCAACCGUAAAAUUGCAAUUGAUACUGGCAGUCUUGAGUUCAGUUGAGGUAGGCGGAAUUCGUGGUGUAGCGGUGAAAUGCUUAGAUAUCACGAAGAACUCCGAUUGCGAAGGCAGCUUACUAAACUGCCACUGACAUUGAUGCUCGAAAGUGUGGGUAUCAAACAGGAUUAGAUACCCGAGUAGUC
rnacentral:rRNA from 1 species